UACGUAGGGGGCUAGCGUUGUCCGGAAUCAUUGGGCGUAAAGCGCACGCAGGCGGACGCGCGCGUGGGGUGUGAAAUCUGGCCGCUUAACGGCCAGGCGCCAUCCCAUACGGCGGGUCUGGAGUGAUGCAGAGGGCGGUGGAAUUGCCGGUGUAGUGGUGAAAUGCGUAGAGAUCGGCAGGAACACCCAGGGGGAAACCAGCCGCCUGGGCAUCGACUGACGCUGAGGUGCGAGAGCGUGGGGAGCGAACCGG
rnacentral:rRNA from 1 species